UACGUAGGGGGCAAGCGUUGUCCGGAAUCAUUGGGCGUAAAGCGCGCGUAGGCGGUCAGGUAAGUCCGGUGUGAAAGUCAAAGGCUCAACCUUUGAAUGCCGCUGGAUACUGCCUGACUUGAGUCCGGAAGGGGCGAGUGGAAUUCCUGGUGUAGCGGUGAAAUGCGCAGAUAUCAGGAGGAACACCAAUGGCGAAGGCAGCUCGCUGGAACGGUACUGACGCUGAGGCGCGAAAGCGUGGGGAGCGAACAGG
rnacentral:rRNA from 1 species